ACUUUUGAUAUCCGCUGUGAACGGAUGCUGCUGGAAUGACUUUGUGGAGCACGUACGGAUUCUGUGUGGCCGCACAGUUAUGAUCAUUAAUCACCAGUGCUCGUACAUGCAGACAGACUCGUGCACACAUACAGUAUGUGUUUUCACACAAUUACAGAUAUCCCCAACAUGACUCACGAACAGAAAAAGAAACUAAUGACCAGAUGCAGACAGGAACCAAAUCACUACCAACACAAUAGUCACUCCAAACAAUAGAGGAUAUGACAAACAUAAACACGCAGAAGAAUAGGUACCUUGCUCGUACACGGCGUGCUACAAGAACUCCAGCCAACAAGACCCUCUAUGCCUAUUUCUCUUCACCCCCCUCCUCCUGCCCCCCCCGUCCCAGGUGACUUCAACAGCGGAAAAGUGCAACAAAACGCACGCCACUCCAUUUGUUUACACCAGAGGAUGUUUAGUUUGAAAAUUGGAUGCCGACAUGAAUUCCAUUGUGAGAGAAUAAGAUUGAGUUUAAACCUGGAAGCUGAAUGAUGAUGCUCGCCUCUCGUAGAAGCUCAUUGGUCGCACUCUGACCUUGUGCAGAUGCUCGGUCAUGAUCGGAUGUCACCGGGGAUCUAGGUCGAGCAGAUCCGACAAGCAGUAUCUGGAGGGACGAAUCUUCACCGCGACUUGACAGCUCCCCUCUGCCCGCCAUACGCCCAGACUCGCCUGUGUGUGACACUUCAGACAGUGUGUGUGACAGUGUGUCCCUUGGCCCUUCGCAGC